UAUUUCCUCUCUUCUUAUUCUUUUCUUUGGCGGUGCUAUAGUUAUCUAUCGCCGGCCUCUGUCGAUGCCGCCUCACUCCACAGGAGGAACCAACAAAGGAUUAGCCUACGGCGGUGGCUGCUGCAACAACCAUCAGCCCAACCACCCCCGGGUGGUAGUUCCCAAUCGCCGCCCCCCGACGACGCUGCCUCACUCCAUAGGGGAAACCGAAAAAGGAUUAGCAUGCGGCUGCUGCAACAACCACCACCAGCCCAACCACUGUCGCACCGGAGAAAGCAAACACGAAGGUAAUAAGCCUAUCGUUGCUCUAAUCACAAUCCCCACACCGCUUCACCC
rnacentral:lncRNA from 1 species